AGUGAAACCUGCACAGGAUUGGAAUGGAAGGAACCAAAUGAGGGGCAGACUAGAAAAUUCAGGCCUAAGAAUUGUGCACUCCUUAUCAGGCUGGAAAUUCUCAAAGACCUUACUUCCAGCCUCUGGCAUGACAGAACAUGAAAAAGAAGUCAAUUAAUCGAGGACUAACCAACUAGAGCCAGUGAUGGGAAGGAUUCCUAAACCUUCAAAGUGUAAGCAAAUAUAAGAAGAUCUGGAUGUCUGAGGUGAUCCAUGCUUCAACUGCCUCAUUUAAGGACCAUGAAAAGGAGAGUUUAUCGAUGAAUAAGAAUGUGGGAGUGCCCAAACUUGAGAGUGAGUGCGGAGUAAUGAUAGCUCACUCACUUAAUGAUGACGACAU